GAGUUUGAUCGUGGCUCAGAUUGAACGCUGGCGGCAGGCCUAACACAUGCAAGUCGAGCGGAUGAAGGGAGCUUGCUCCUGGAUUCAGCGGCGGACGGGUGAGUAAUGCCUAGGAAUCUGCCUGGUAGUGGGGGAUAACGUCCGGAAACGGGCGCUAAUACCGCAUACGUCCUGAGGGAGAAAGUGGGGGAUCUUCGGACCUCACGCUAUCAGAUGAGCCUAGGUCGGAUUAGCUAGUUGGUGGGGUAAAGGCCUACCAAGGCGACGAUCCGUAACUGGUCUGAGAGGAUGAUCAGUCACACUGGAACUGAGACACGGUCCAGACUCCUACGGGAGGCAGCAGUGGGGAAUAUUGGACAAUGGGCGAAAGCCUGAUCCAGCCAUGCCGCGUGUGUGAAGAAGGUCUUCGGAUUGUAAAGCACUUUAAGUUGGGAGGAAGGGCAGUAAGUUAAUACCUUGCUGUUUGACGUUACAACAGAGUAAGCACCGGCUAACUUCGUGCCAGCCGCCGCGGU
rnacentral:rRNA from 1 species